GGGCACUUAGUUCAGUUGGUUAGAACGCUUGGUUUACAUCCAAGAAGUCGGGGGUUCGAGUCCCUCAGUGCCCA
rnacentral:tRNA from 1 species